UACCCACAUCUCUGUCCUGCCAUUG
rnacentral:misc_RNA from 1 species